UUUGGGAGGUUGAGGUGGAAGGAUUGCUGGAGGCCAGGAGUUUGAGACCAGCCUGGGCAACAUAGUGAGACCUCCAUCUCUACAAAAA
rnacentral:miRNA from 1 species